rnacentral:misc_RNA from 1 species
CAGAGUUCGUGCCCUUACGGGUAGAUCUCCCACCCUGUGUUAUUAUACCUUUGUUGCUUUGGCGGGCCGCCCUCGGCUACCGGCCCCGGCUGGUAUGCGCCCGCCAGAGGACCCUAAAACCUGAAUGUUAGUGUCGUCUGAGUACUAUACAAUAGUUA